GACCCAUGGAUGAAGGAACAUAAUGAAGCUGCAAAGCUUGCAGAGGAUAUCAAUGGUAUGAUUGCAGAAAGGAGUUCUUUUCCAGCAUCAGGGCCCGAAACACAGCGUCAUGCAUCUGCUAUACGGAGGAAGAUUACAAUUUUAGGUACUAGGCUUGAUAGCUUACAGUCCCUUUUGACCAAACUUCCUGGCAAGCAGCAUAUAUUGGAAAAAGAGAUGAAUCGUCGCAAGGACAUGGU
rnacentral:misc_RNA from 1 species